rnacentral:misc_RNA from 1 species
AAUGACUUGGAACAGUUCGCAUAAUCAAGGCUACACUUUCAUUUCUUGUUGUAACAACAAUUUUACUUCCUUUUGUCCCAUACUUCAAAGGUCUUUGCAAGAUGUCCCAAUCAGUAUACUUUGCAUACCAGACAUCAACCAAAACAAGUAAAAAUCUUUUCCCCAUCAAUCUCUCCUUAAGCCCCACUUGAAUUUCAUCUGCAUUUUUGGUACCACAAGUCUCUCCAGCAACUGUUUUAAAAAUAUCUUUUGUUACCUGAAGAACGUCAUAUGCUUCUGAAACAAAAAUCCAUACUCUCGGAUUGAACUACUCUUGCAUUCUCUUGUCACUGAAGACAAGCUGAGCU